AUAUCUCUCCGUACGGGAAGGAUGAGAAGCUUCGACUAAGGUUCGAUUCGAGCGAAAGCGAGAAAGCGUUGCCGCAGGCAACGACCC
rnacentral:sRNA from 2 species